AGAUGAGUUGAGAGAGAUACUUUAUUUCAACUCGGGUUGAUGAGGCUGAUUAGGCCCCUAGCAAAUACAUGCUAAUAUGCCGAAACUAAUUAGGGACACAACUAACACAAAUCAAGUCGUACGCUGGUUUUUAGAGGAG